rnacentral:ncRNA from 1 species
CACCGCCUCAGUCGCUACUAUUGAUUGGAUGGCUUAGUGAGGCCCUCGGAUUGGCCCCGCCGGGUCGGCCCAUGGCCCUGGCGGAGCGCUGAGAAGACAGUCAAACCGGACUAUCUAGAGGAAGUAAAAGUCUUAACAAGGUUUCCGUAGGUGAACCUGCAGAAA